ACUCGCUUAGGCGGUACAUGUAUUUACUAGAAUUGGAACGAUACAGAGAAGAUUAGCAUGGCCGCUGCGCAAAGAUGACACGCAAAAUACUGGAGCGUUCCAUAUUUUU